rnacentral:pre_miRNA from 1 species
AUAAUACUCCCUCCGUCCGGAAAUACUUGUCAUCAAAAUGGAUGAAAAUGGAUGUAUCUACAACUAAAAUACAUCUAGAUACAUCCAUUUCAAUGACAAGUAUUUCCGGACGGAGGGAGUAGAAA